rnacentral:rRNA from 1 species
UAUGAACGCUGGCGGCGUGCCUAAUACAUGCAAGUCGAGCGAACGGACGAGAAGCUUGCUUCUCUGAUGUUAGCGGCGGACGGGUGAGUAACACGUGGAAACCUACCUAUAAGACUGGGAUAACUUCGGGAAACCGGAGCUAAUACCGGAUAAUAUUUUGAACCGCAUGGUUCAAAAGUGAAAGACGGUCUUGCUGUCACUUAUAGAUGGAUCCGCGCUGCAUUAGCUAGUUGGUAAGGUAACGGCUUACCAAGGCAACGAUGCAUAGCCGACCUGAGAGGGUGAUCGGCCACACUGGAACUGAGACACGGUCCAGACUCCUACGGGAGGCAGCAGUAGGGAAUCUUCCGCAAUGGGCGAAAGCCUGACGGAGCAACGCCGCGUGAGUGAUGAAGGUCUUCGGAUCGUAAAACUCUGUUAUUAGGGAAGAACAUAUGUGUAAGUAACUGUGCACAUCUUGACGGUACCUAAUCAGAAAGCCACGGCUAACUACGUG